rnacentral:rRNA from 1 species
AGGAUGAACGCUGGCGGCGUGCUUAACACAUGCAAGUCGAACGAUGAACCUCACUUGUGGGGGGAUUAGUGGCGAACGGGUGAGUAACACGUGAGUAACCUGCCCUUAACUCUGGGAUAAGCCUUGGAAACGGGGUCUAAUACCGGAUAUUUACGAUUGAUCGCAUGGUUGGUUGUGGAAAGAUUUAUUGGUUUUGGAUGGACUCGCGGCCUAUCAGCUUGUUGGUGAGGUAAUGGCUUACCAAGGCGACGACGGGUAGCCGGCCUGAGAGGGUGACCGGCCACACUGGGACUGAGACACGGCCCAGACUCCUACGGGAGGCAGCAGUGGGGAAUAUUGCACAAUGGGCGGAAGCCUGAUGCAGCGACGCCGCGUGAGGGAUGACGGCCUUCGGGUUGUAACCUCUUUCAGCAGGGAAGAGCGCAAGUGACGGUACCUGCAGAAGAAGCACCGGCUAACUACGUGCCAGCAGCCGC